rnacentral:rRNA from 1 species
CAAGUCGGACGGGAAUUUUUUUGGUAGCAAUACCGAAAAAAUUUCAGUGGCGAACGGGUGCGUAACACGUGGGCAAUCUGCCGAGAAGUGGGGGAUAGCUCGCCGAAAGGCGAAUUAAUACCGCAUGUGAUGAGGGGAGACAUCUUCCCGAAAUCAAAGGUGGCGCAAGCUACCGCUUUUUGAGGAGCCCGCGGCCUAUCAGCUUGUUGGUGAGGUAACGGCUCACCAAGGCGUUGACGGGUAGCUGGUCUGAGAGGACGACCAGUCACACUGGGACUGAGACACGGCCCAGACACCUACGGGUGGCAGCAGUCGAGAAUUUUUCUCAAUGGGGGAAACCCUGAAGGAGCGACGCCGCGUGGAGGAUGAAGGUCUUCGGGUUGUAAACUCCUGUCACUUGGGAACAAGGCGCAGGUGUUAACUGUACCUGCGUUGAUAGUACCAGAAGAGGAAGAGACGGCUAACUCUGUGCCAGCAGCCGCGGUAAUACAGAGGUCUCAAGCGUUGUUCGGAUUCAUUGGGCGUAAAGGGUGCGUAGGUGGCGCGGUAAGUCGGGUGUGAAAUUUCGGAGCUUAACUCCGAAACUGCAUUCGAUACUGCCGUGCUUGAGGACUGGAGAGGAGACUGGAAUUUACGGUGUAGCAGUGAAAUGCGUAGAGAUCGUAAGGAAGACCAGUGGCGAAGGCGGGUCUCUGGACAGUUCCUGACACUGAGGCACGAAGGCCAGGGGAGCAAACGGGAUUAGAUACCCCGGUAGUCCUGGCAGUAAACGGUGCACGUUUGGUGUGGGGAGGAUUCGACCCCUUCUGC